CUGCUAAGUGUUUGUGGAGCUCCCUGGCACACAUUGAACACCUGGCAGUAGAAGGAGGACCCAUUUCUGAGCUUUCUUCUGUUUUUCUUAAAAAGACUUAAACAGCAAAUUCUAAGGUCUAAGUGUCUAAGGUUGUAGUGUGACUUUUGAUUUCAUGGUAUUGGACAUUGUAUGAAAAAUAAUUUAAGAUGUGGUUGUGGAUUUUGAUUGGCCUAAACAUCAUCACAAAGGUGCAUGGGUAUGGAGAUGGCAUAUUCCCAGAGGUGUGUGAUUCAAUGUUACCUCAUCAUACAAUACGUGGGACACCUAUCAAUCCUCAGAACACUGAACUGCCCUUUGAGAUCGUCUACAAAGAGGGCAAAAAGGGAGAACCUAUUACAGUUACUCUCCGGAGUAACCAAUCCAGAAUGUUUGAGGGAUUUAUGUUGGAGGCUCAACAGAGAGGCUCUCCUGUAGGAAUAUUCACCCUGCUUGAGCCUGCACGAACUAGACUCCUGAAGUGCAAUGG